rnacentral:misc_RNA from 1 species
GAAAUGCGAUAAGUAGUGUGAAUUGCAGAAUUCAGUGAAUCAUCGAAUCUUUGAACGCACAUUGCGCCCUUUGGUAUUCCUUAGGGCAUGCCUGUUCGAGCGUCAUUUAAACCUUCAAGCUCAGCUUGGUGAUGGGUGACUGUCCUCCCCUCGCGGGGGGGACUCGCCUCAAAAACAUUGGCGGCCGGUACAUUGGCUUCGAGCGCAGCAGAAACGCGGUCUCGAGUCCGGUGGAUCGGCUCCCAUGAGCCUUCUUUUUUAUUUUGACCUCGGAUCAGGUAGGGAUACCCGCUGAACUUAAGC